UACAGAGGAGGCAAGCGUUGUUCGGAAUCACUGGGCUUAAAGCGCGUGUAGGCGGCGCGAUAAGUGUUCUGUGAAAUCCCACGGCUCACCCGUGGAACUGCAGGGCAUACUGUCGUGCUUGAGGCAGGUAGGGGCCACUGGAACUCUCGGUGGAACGGUGAAAUGUGUAGAUAUCGAGAGGAACACCUGCGGCGAAGGCGGGUUGCUGGGCCGACACUGACGCUGAUGCGCGAAAGCUAGGGGAGCGAACGGG
rnacentral:rRNA from 1 species